UUAAGCAUAUCAAUAAGCGGAGGAAANGAAACUAACAAGGAUUCCCCUAGUAACGGCGAGUGAAGCGGGAAGAGCUCAAAUUUGAAAUCUGGCGGUCUCACGGCCGUCCGAGUUGUAGUCUAGAGAGGCGUUAUCCGCGGCGGACCACGUACAAGUCCUUUGGGAUGCGGCGUCAUAGAGGGUGAGAAUCCCGUCCAUGACGUGGACUACCGUCGCUUUGCGUUGCGCCUUCGAAGAGUCGAGUUGUUUGGGAAUGCAGCUCAAAACGGGUGGUAAAUUCCAUCUAAAGCUAAAUACAGGCGAGAGACCGAUAGCGAACAAGUACCGUGAGGGAAAGAUGAAAAGAACUUUGGAAAGAGAGUUAAACAGUACGUGAAAUUGCUGAAAGGGAAACGCUUGGAGUCAGUCGCGUCCUCGAGGAUUCAGCCCGGCUUUUGUCGGGUGCACUUCCUCUGGGGACGGGCCAGCAUCAGUUUCGAGCGUCGAAGAAUGGCGGGAGGAAUGUGGCACCCUCGGGUGUGUUAUAGCCUCCUGUCGGACGCGACGCUCGGGACUGAGGACCGCU
rnacentral:rRNA from 1 species